CCCUUCUGAUUUUAGUCGAAGAAUGCAGCCACCCAGUGGUCAUGAAGGGUUUGUGUGCCGAGUGUGGCCAAGACCUGACCCAGCUGCAGAGCAAGAACGGGAGGCAGCAGAUGCCACUGUCCACAGCCACCGUGUCAAUGGUGCACAGUGUCCCGGAGCUGAUGGUGAGCUCUGAGCAAGCCGAGCAGUUAGGGAGGGAAGACCAGCAACGACUGCAUCGGAACAGGAAGCUGGUGCUCAUGGUCGACUUGGACCAGACCCUGAUCCACACCACGGAGCAGCAGUGCCAGCAGAUGUCAAACAAAGGCAUCCUGCACUUCCAGCUGGGCCGGGGCGAGCCGAUGCUGCACACCCGCCUGCGUCCGCACUGCAGGGAGUUCCUGGAGAAGGUCGCCAGGCUGUACGAGCUGCACGUCUUCACCUUCGGCAGCCGGCUGUAUGCACACACGAUCGCAGGCUUUUUAGACCCUGAGAAGAAGCUUUUUUCUCACCGAAUAUUAUCGAGGGACGAGUGUAUUGACCCGUUUUCUAAAACAGGAAACCUCAGAAAUCUCUUUCCUUGUGGAGACUCAAUGGUUUGCAUUAUUGAUGACCGAGAAGAUGUCUGGAAGUUCGCCCCCAAUCUGAUCACCGUAAAGAAAUAUGUCUACUUCCAGGGCACAGGGGACAUCAAUGCUCCCCCAGGGUCCCGGGAGCCUCCAGCGAGAAAGAAAGUGAAUUAUCCUCCCAAAGGUGCUGACAUCGCAGAUCAAGCUCCGUCCAUUAAGGACCCUGAGGAGGGAAGGCCGGUUUCUGCAGUUGAGCAGAGUAACGGCCUUGGGAAGCCCAUGAGGGAACUCAACGGGGACUGGGCCUCACCUGCUGCCCGAGCCCCUUUGGUGGACGGUAGGGGGCCCCCAGUGUCUGUUCAGCAGCAGUGUCGGACCUCAGUGGAGAAACAGCCCGCACAGGGCACAGCAGGCAGUGACCUGGACUUUGACUUAUCCAGUGACAGUGAGAGCAGCAGUGAGUCGGAGGGUCAGUCCUCCACCACCUCUGAUGGCGAAAGUGGGGAGAAGAAGAGCCAGAAGAAGCCUAAGGCUGCGCAGGACACCAGGAGAGCCAUGCAGCAGGGCGGGGCCCCUGGCCCGGGCGGGGAGAGGCCCACACGGCCAAAUCACUGCGGAGAGCCUGUGCCCGGAGUCCAGCCUGACCUGCAGGAGGAGGGCGAGCGAGACGGCUUCUGUGGGCUGGCAGGUGGCUCUGCUGACAAGAAGGAGGCCGAGACGGAGUCCCAGAACAGUGAGCAGUCAGGCAUCACAGUGGGCGAGUCCCUGGACCAGAGCGUGGAGGAGGAGGAGGAGAACGAGGAGGAGGAGGACGAUGAUGGCGAUGACCACCUGGUCCACCUGGAGGAGAUCCUCGCCCGCGUGCACUCCGACUACUACGCCAGGUAUGACCGCUACUUGCGCGGGGAGACCCAGGAGGCACCCGACAUACGGAAGAUCGUGCCUGAGCUCAAGAGCCGAGUACUGGCGGACGUGGCCAUAAUCUUCAGUGGGCUGUACCCCACCAACUUCCCGGUGGAAAAGACGCGGGAGCAUUACCAUGCCACGGCCCUCGGAGCCAGGAUCCUCACCCAGCUGGUGUUAGACCCUGACGCCCCUGACAGGGCCACCCACCUGAUCGCUGCAAAGGCAGGCACAGAGAAGGUGCGGCAGGCCCAGGCAUGCGGACAGUUGCACGUGGUGAACCCCGACUGGCUGUGGAGCUGCCUAGAGCGGUGGGACAAGGUGGAGGAGCAGCUCUUCCCGCUGAGCGAGGACUACGGCAAAGUGCAGAGGGAGGACAGUCCCGCAGCCUUUCCCGACAGGCAGGGUGCGCUGCCAGCUGCCUUGUUCCAUCCGACACCCGUGCACCCCAAGGCCCAGCCCGGCCCUGACGUCCGGAUCUACGACGCCAGCACGGGCAAGCUCAUCCGGAAGGGCACUGCCAGCCCCGGGCCCCCCGGCUCCCUGCAGAUUCACACGGGACACUCCUCCUUCAGAGCUGUUCAGCCUCAUCAGCAGCAGAUGUUUGGUGAAGAGCUGCCAGAUAAUCCCGAUGGAGAACAGCCUGGUCCUUCUAGAAGAAAGCGACAGCCCAGCAUGUCAGAGACCAUGCCGCUGUACACUCUGUGUAAGGAGGAUUUAGAGAGUAUGGACAAAGAGGUGGACGACAUCCUAGGAGAAGGCAGUGAUGACAGCGACAGCGAGAAGAAGAAGCCGGAGGAGCAGGAGGAGGAGCAGGAUGGAGCAUCUCAGCCCAGGGAGCCCAAGGCCCCAGCAGCCCAGAGGGGGCACACACUCCAGUCGAAGUCACCCAGCGAGAGGAGUGCAGCGGAGGCCCGGGGGCCCAGAGUCGGCGGCUGAGUGAAGACGUCGGGUCAGAAGGGUAGGAAGGAGCAGUUUCCAUCGUUACCUGUGGACAGUGGUCACAGCCGUUUCCCUCACCAAAGACUGUUCUCCGAGUGCCAGGAAAUGUCAGUCUUGGCGCCGUGGCCGUCCCAUCCGGUCGGUGGCGCACAAGGAAAACUGCCCCAUCUUCAGGGGCUGAAUUCUGGCGCGCGUCCAGCCCACCCACCUCCGUUGAGCACCGACCCCAUGUUUCCAUGUGGACACAGGUGUGGAAGGUGUUCCAGGUGGUGGAUUGGCCUGGAAGGUUCACUUUAAUACACUGGGGGUUUGUCAUCUCUAAAUGGAGGAAACACAGCACUUCCUCAGUGAAGUUCUCACUCUCUCCCCCACUGGAGCCGUGGUUACAUACCGUCGUGCCUGCUCCUGCCCUGCCCUGCCGUCUUCGGUGCACCCCUGGGCAUUCAUCACAUCUGUGGACACAGUUGCACUGUGUCCAGUCUCUUCUGCCACAAGCAGUGCUGUGGGGCCUGCCCCAUGCACUUGAGCGCAUCACUCGGUGGAUUUCUGAAAGCAGAAUUGCCGGUCGAAAGGUGUUUGCGCUUUUAACCUGUAAGCUGCUGACAGUUGUCCUCUGUGGAAGUUGGUGCCAGUCAAACUCCCCUCAAAACAAGUGACUGUGCUCAUUGUCCACACCUGCUCAGCACGACAGAUAAAAAGGGGUGUCGUUUUUCUGCCUUUGUCUUUCUAAGGGCUGUGCCCAUGCCCGAGACUGAGCCCAGAGAGCCCACACUUUGGGGACAGCAACUUCACCAAAACAGUCCAGCCAGUCACUGAACAGCAACAGUAACCAGCCUGUGGGGAGCGGAGACCAAGACUCAGGGCUGCUACAACAUGGGAACUAAAAUGUCCACUUUCUAGCAAAAAACAUUACGUAGAGACAGCAGAGUCUGACCUACACAGGAAGACAACCACAGGCAGGCAGGUGUCGGAGGUCACAGACCACAGCUUCAGACAGAAUGAAUUACUGACAAGGCCUCAUCUCGCAGACGCUGUCAGACAGGAGCACUGCAAAUGAAAAGUGUAACACCGAAAUGGAAAUCCACCAGAGGGCCCCAGCGUUGAUUUGAACCUGCAGAAGGAUUAGCAGACUUGGAGAUGGAUCGAUGGAGAUCAUGUGAUCAAAAGGCACAGACUCAGGUGUGGGCACAUGGAAUCGACCAGGAUCCAAAAUCCACAGAAGCAAACACGCUGCCCAGUGCCACCUUGGGAGCAGAGCCUGCCCAUCAGAUUCAGGUGGUCCUUCCUCUGCCCCAGACGUGGCCUCCCAGAGACGGGAGACAGACCACAUGGCCAUGCGUCACACUAUAGAGUCACCUCAUGGGUCCCAUGUCCCCACCACAGGUGGGUGGGCCAGGACCUCGAACGAGAUCUGUGAUGGAGACAGAUGCCUGGAUCCUCAUCCACCCAGGACAUGUUCUUUACUCUGCAGGUGCAAAAGCCUUCUGACCUUGCCAGGGCCACAAGAGGAAGCUGAACGACGACGACGCGGCCAGCGAGUCCAGCAGGGAGUCCAGC